rnacentral:lncRNA from 1 species
UCGAGUGGAGGGGACGCGCCUCCCUCCGUCUCCAGCCUGUCGUGUCACCAGUCUGCACAGCCUGUGCUAAGGCAGGUGGACAGUUUAUAGGCAGGUCCACACUUACCUGACAUGAUGGGCAGACCUGCAGCCCCCACACCUAAGAAAGCCACAUGGGCAGCAGGGGAGGGUCGCACCCUAGGUCCUCGCCCUGGUGAGAGCCGGGGCCAGAGCUGGUCUCCUCCCCCUGGGCCCUGGGGCUGCAGAAGCUGCUCUUGGAUGCAACUGCACCCAGUGGAGGGACUCUGAGUUCUGGAAACUUCGGAAAGUCGUUCUGCAUUGGGGUUGGUUAAAAAGAGGCAGCUGAGCUGAGAAAACACCGUUCACUCAACUUCCCUCCUGCCCCCUGUGCCUGGUUCUUCCAGGUGGCAACUCUGUCACCCGUACAACAAAAGCAGAUCGUUUCCGUAAGUGUGAUUCAUUUAUUAAUUUUUUUUUUUGUCUUUUUGUCUUUUCUAGGGCCGCUCCUGCGGCAUAUGGAGGUUCCCAGGCUAGGGGUUGAAUCGGAGCUGUAGCUGCCGGCCUCCACCACAGCCACAGCAAUGCCAGAUCCGAGCCGUGUCUGCAACCUACACCACAGCUCACGGCAACGCCGGAUCCUUAACCCACUGAGUGAGGCCAGGGAUGGAACCCGCAACCUCAUGGUUCCUCGUUGGAUUCAGUAACCACUGGGCCACGAUGGGAAUUCUGUGAUCCAUUUAUUAAUAAUUUCCCUUUUUGUGUCUCACAGGCGGGCAGGUUGCUUCACCCUGUCGGCUCAUCAUGUCCCCUUCUUUCUUCGUGCAGAGUUUCACAGUCUCGCUGGUAUGGCAAUUCUUUUCACGGCUGAUUUCAGCCCCCGCUUUCCUAAGGUCUGGUGUUUUAAACACAUUUUCUUGGAGCCUCAACAUGUUCUAUGCAUUUUUCACAGCAUGGACGUUCUCGUCACUGCUGAGCAAAGCAGG